rnacentral:rRNA from 1 species
CAGCCGCCACGGUAAUACGUAGGUGGCAAGCGUUGUCCGGAAUUAUUGGGCGUAAAGGGCUCGCAGGCGGUUUCUUAAGUCUGAUGUGAAAGCCCCCGGCUCAACCGGGGAGGGUCAUUGGAAACUGGGAAACUUGAGUGCAGAAGAGGAGAGUGGAAUUCCACGUGUAGCGGUGAAAUGCGUAGAGAUGUGGAGGAACACCAGUGGCGAAGGCGACUCUCUGGUCUGUAGCUGACGCUGAGGAGCGAAAGCGUGGGGAGCGAACAGGAUUAGAUACCCCUGUAGUCCCUGUCUCUUAUAC